AACGAACGCUGGCGGCAUGCCUAACACAUGCAAGUCGAACGAGACCUUCGGGUCUAGUGGCGCACGGGUGCGUAACGCGUGGGAAUCUGCCCCUUGGUUCGGAAUAACAGCGAGAAAUUGCUGCUAAUACCGGAUAAUGACGUAAGUCCAAAGAUUUAUCGCCAAGGGAUGAGCCCGCGUAGGAUUAGCUAGUUGGUGUGGUAAAGGCGCACCAAGGCGACGAUCCUUAGCUGGUCUGAGAGGAUGAUCAGCCACACUGGGACUGAGACACGGCCCAGACUCCUACGGGAGGCAGCAGUGGGGAAUAUUGGACAAUGGGCGAAAGCCUGAUCCAGCAAUGCCGCGUGAGUGAUGAAGGCCUUAGGGUUGUUAAAGCUCUUUUACCCGAGAUGAUAAUGACAGUAUCGGGAGAAUAAGCUCCGGCUAACUCCGUGCCAGCAGCCGCGGUAAAGUGACUACUG
rnacentral:rRNA from 1 species